rnacentral:rRNA from 1 species
UGCGUAGGUGGUUUCUUAAGUCAGAGGUGAAAGGCUACGGCUCAACCGUAGUAAGCCUUUGAAACUGGGAAACUUGAGUGCAGGAGAGGAGAGUGGAAUUCCUAGUGUAGCGGUGAAAUGCGUAGAUAUUAGGAGGAACACCGGUUGCGAAGGCGGCUCUCUGGACUGUAACUGACACUGAGGUACGAAAGCGUGGGGAGCAAACAA